GGAUACGCAGGACGUCCUCUACGGCCACUUCCGUGGAUCUAGAGCAACUGGGGAACCUAAUUCUGACCAACAAGGAAGAAUUGCUUGGCUAAUUGGAAGUGACAGAAACCUUGGGAGAAAACAACCACAUACUGAGGAUAAUUAUCAGAAGUAUUCACUCGCCCAGGGAAGGGGGAAUUUCAAAACAAAGCAACUGAAACAAAGAAAUAGAUUGAAUUUUCCAAAGUGCUUAAAGUGAAGACACAAGUCUUGAAACCUAAGGUGAUGAGGAAAGAACAGAUUUCUUGAACUUCUUCAAUGCUUCAAGAGGUAAAAUUGGAAAGAAGAAGGAAAAAAUUGUAUCCUUAAGCAAGAUCUGGUGGGUUGAAUGGUGGCACCCAGAAAGACAUGUCCAUGUCCCAAUCCCUGGAACCUGUGGGUGUGACCUUAUUUGGAAAGAGUCUUUGCAGAUGUAAUUAAGUUAAGGAUGUUGAGAUGAGGAGAUCAAUCACCCUGGAUUGUCUGCUGGGCUGUAAGUCCAUUGAUGCAUAUCCUUAAGUGACAUAAGAAAGGAAGACACAGAGAAAAGGAGGCAAUGUGACCACAGAGACUAAGAUUGGAGUAAUGAGGCCACAAGUGAAGGAAUGCUGACAGCUACCAGAAGCUGGAAGAGGCAAAAAACAGAUUCCCCCCAGGUCCUCCGGAGGAAGCACAGCCCUGCUGACACCUUGAUCUCAGAGUUCUGGCCUCAUAACUUUAAGAGAAUAAAUUUCUGUUGUUUUAAACCACCAAUUUGUAUAUAUUUAUUAUGUCAGCCCUAUUAAGUUUAUACACAGAGUUUAAAGAGAAUCUAGCAAUAUCUCUAGAAAGAUUAGGUUUUUCUGGGUUGGAGGGAAUGGAGGAAUGUGAAAUGGACGGUGGAGUGUGGAGAAGGUCUGAGGGACUCCUUGGAGGGGAGAACCAGAG
rnacentral:lncRNA from 1 species